rnacentral:piRNA from 1 species
UCCCAAGACAGAUGAUCCUUGAGUGGAUA